AUAGGAUGGGACUGCGGCCUAUCAGCUUGUUGGUGAGGUAAUGGCCCACCAAGGCGAUUACAGGUACGGGCUCUGAGAGGAGAAGCCCGGAGAUGGGUACUGAGACACGGACCCAGGCCCUAUGGGGCGCAGCAGGCGAGAAAACUUUGCAAUGUGCGAAAGCACGACAAGGUUAAUCCGAGUGGUUUCUGCUAAAGGAACCUUUUGUUAGUCCUAAAAACACUAACGAAUAAGGGGUGGGCAAGCUCUGGUGUCAGCCGCCGCGGUAAAACCAGCACCUCAAGUGGUCAGGAUGAUUAUUGGGCCUAAAGCAUCCGUAGCCUGCUCUGUAAGUUUUCGGUUAAAUUUGUAUGCUCAACAUACAGGCCGCCGGAAAUACUGCAGGGCUAGGGAGUGGGAGAGGUAGACGGUACUCGGGAGGAAGGGGUAAAAUCCUUUGAUUUAUUGAUGACCACCUGUGGCGAAGGCGGUCUACCAGAACACGUUCGACGGUGAGGGAUGAAAGCUGGGGGAGCAAACCGGAUUAGAUACCCGGGUAGUCCCAGCUGUAAACGAUGCAGACUCGAUGAUGCAUUGGCAUAAUAGCCAGUGCAGUGUCGCAGGGAAGCCGUUAAGUCUGCCGCCUGGGAAGUACGUACGCAAGUAUGAAACUUAAAGGAAUUGGCGGGGGAGCACCA
rnacentral:rRNA from 1 species